rnacentral:rRNA from 1 species
GAUGAACGCUGGCGGCGUGCCUAACACAUGCAAGUCGAGCGAUCUUCUUCGGAAGAGAGCGGCGGACGGGUGAGUAACGCGUGGGUAACCUGCCUCAUACACAUGGAUAACAUACCGAAAGGUAUGCUAAUACAAGAUGAUAUAAGAGAUUCGCAUGGAUUUCUUAUCAAAGCUCCGGCGGUAUGAGAUGGAUCCGCGUCUGAUUAGCUAGUUGGUAAGGUAACGGCUUACCAAGGCGACGAUCAGUAGCCGACCUGAGAGGGUGAUCGGCCACAUUGGAACUGAGACACGGUCCAAACUCCUACGGGAGGCAGCAGUGGGGAAUAUUGCACAAUGGGCGAAAGCCUGAUGCAGCAACGCCGCGUGAGCGAUGAAGGCCUUCGGGUCGUAAAGCUCUGUCCUCAAGGAAGAUAAUGACGGUACUUGAGGAGGAAGCCCCGGCUAACUACGUGCCAGCAGCCGCCAGUAAAAC